AGUGCAAACAGUUUCAAUGGCAACAGAAUUGGUGGGAACAGCUUUGACAACAAUGCGAACAGCUUUGCAGCUAAUCCAGGGAGUGCCAACAGUUUUAAUGGCAAUGCAAUUGGUGGCAACAGCUUCAACAACAAUGCUAACAGCUUUGCAGCUGAUCCAGGAAGUGUGGACAGUUUUAAUGGCAAUGCCAUUGGUGGUAACAGCUUUGAUGGCAAUCAGAACAGCUUUGCAGCAGCUCCAGGGAAUAUUGGCAGCUUUAAUGGUAACUCAGGGGGUGAUGACAGCUUCAACAACAAUGGCAAUACAAAUGAUGAACCUAUCAUAUUCUAUUAAAUGGCCACAGAAGUCCAGACACUCUCCAACCAAUGCCAUUCAGCAUUUUUUCGAUCAUUUCAUCUUGAAUGACCAUUGAAGGAAACUACCCUGACAUCACUACAGAUCCCCCCGUCCCCCUUACAAAUAAAUAAACCAAUAAUAUAUUCAAGCUAUAAG
rnacentral:lncRNA from 1 species